rnacentral:lncRNA from 1 species
CAGACAAAAGGCAGGCAGCAGCCGGGAAGAGGAAUGGCCACGGUGUACCGAACAUAUCUCACUGUACUCCAGAGAAGGAACCAAGCUGCUUCCAGUCAAGUUACCGCAUGGCAGGGGAUUGUGUUAAAGAUUUGCUGGAGGCAGAGGUAAGCGUGUGUGUUGGGGUAUGGGGGUGGGGAUGAUACUAUAGCAAUACAAAUAAUUUUAAAUGGAAUAUUUGCCCUCCCUGUGUUUAAAAUGCCUUGAGCUGCUCUACUCAAAGGCUAUUUGGACUAUUCCUCUGGCCUAAUCAUCCCCCACAUUACUGGCCACUGGGCCACUGAGGAAUUCAGCUCUUUCCAACCCUAUUUCAUACAACCCUAAAACAACUUCAGACCCAAUUUUACAAAUUCAAAUCUGCCAAGGGCUCAGCUCUACAAAUAAAAGCCUUUCAUUGAACAAAUCUUCUCUCCUUCAAAAAUAUUUACUGUUUGUAAAAACUCAGG